rnacentral:rRNA from 1 species
UACAGAGGUCCCAAGCGUUGUUCGGAUUCACUGGGCGUAAAGGGUGCGUAGGUGGUGAGGUAAGUCGGAUGUGAAAGCUCGGAGCUCAACUCCGAAAUGGCAUUGGAAACUACCUUGCUGGAGGUUUGGAGGGGGGACUGGAAUUCUCGGUGUAGCAGUGAAAUGCGUAGAUAUCGAGAGGAACACCAGUGGCGAAGGCGAGUCCCUGGACAAAACCUGACACUGAGGCACGAAAGCUAGGGGAGCAAACAGG